rnacentral:rRNA from 1 species
CGCGUAGGCGAUCCGAUAAGUCUCGUGUGAAAUCCCAGUGCUUAACGCUGGAAUGGCACGGGAAACUGUUGGAUUUGAGUUCCGGAGAGGAAGGCAGAAUUCCCGGUGUAGCGGUGAAAUGCGUAGAUAUCGGGAGGAAUACCAGUGGCGAAGGCGGCCUUCUGGACGGAUACUGACGCUGAGGCGCGAAAGCCAGGGAGCGAACG